UUCAUUUCCUUGGUUGUUCAGUUUAUGGCAAAAGACCCUCAGCUGUGUUUUGUUUACUAAUUCCCCUAAGCCUGCCUUAAAUCCAGACUGCCAGGGCCACAGGAAAUCUUUCAGACCCCUGACAGGUACGGAUAGGAUCUCACAUUGUCACUCAGGUUGGAGGGCAGUGGUGGGAUCACAGGUCACUGCAUCCUUGACCUCCUGGGCUGAAGUAGUCCUCCCGCCUCAGCCUCCGUGGUAGCUGGGACUACAGGCACAUGCCACUGCACGCAGUGUCUUCCUUUGGCUUUGGUAUCAAGGUAAUGCUGGCCUCAUAAGAUAUGGGGUCUCACUAUGUUGUCCAUGCUGAUCUCAAACUCCUGGGCUCAAGCAAUCUUCCCACCUCAGCCUCCCAAAGUGCUGGGAUUACAGGAGCACAAAGGAAAGGCCAUGCGAGGACACAGGGAGAAGACAGGCCCCUACCAGUCAGGAAGGGAGCCCUCACCAGAAACUGAGCUGGCCAGCACAAUGGUCUUGGACUUGUAGCUCCAGAACUGUGAGGAAAUAAAUUUCUGUUGUUGAAGCC
rnacentral:lncRNA from 1 species